GACAGCCAGGAUGUUGGCUUAGAAGCAGCCAUCAUUUAAAGAAAGCGUAAUAGCUCACUGGUCGAGUCGGCCUGCGCGGAAGAUGUAACGGGGCUAAACUGUGCACCGAAGCUGCGGCAGCGACACUAUGUGUUGUUGGGUAGGGGAGCGUUCUGUAAGCCUGCGAAGGUGGCCUGUGAGGGUUGCUGGAGGUAUCAGAAGUGCGAAUGCUGACAUAAGUAACGAUAAUGCGGGUGAAAAGCCCGCA
rnacentral:rRNA from 1 species